GAAAUAAAACUGUGUGAUAGACUAUGAUACAGCUAGAUCAUGUGGAGAUCAGGGGUGCGUGUACAAAGGUUGGGUCAGGUGUACCGAAAGUGGUCUAUAGAGUAAACCAACAAUUUUAGCUUGAGACUCACAAAACCAACUGAUAUGACAUAUAGACCAUUUCCAUCAUGUUGGUUGCACUAGUUCAUUAGAGACAAAGGGUGAGAGUGACACUGUAAAUGAGAUGGAGGUGAGGACAAUUAACUAGGAUUUGUUAGAAAAUAAAGUGAAAACAACAAAAAAAAAAUGUUAAAGGAUAGGAUAUACAUAACAAAACCAUAACCGACCAACUGUUCAACAAAUGUAGUUCAUUGGACCAGAUUUCAUUGGGUUGGUAGUUAAGCAAUUUUUUGUGAGAUCACAUGCACUAAUGGUUUAAGAUAUCAUCCAAUACAUGUCAGUACCAAGCACAAUAGACCAGCGAACAACAAUGCAAGUGAAACCUGGGUUGGCAUUUAAGUUUUUUUUGUGAGAUCACAC
rnacentral:misc_RNA from 1 species